GGGCCAGACUCCUACGGGAGGCAGCAGUCGGGAAUAUUGCGCAAUGGAGGAAACUCUGACGCAGUGACGCCGCGUAUAGGAAGAAGGUUUUCGGAUUGUAAACUAUUGUCAUUAGGGAAGAAAAAAGACAGUACCUAAGGAGGAAGCUCCGGCUAACUACGUGCCAGCAGCCGCGGUAAUACGUAGGGAGCGAGCGUUAUCCGGAAUUAUUGGGUGUAAAGGGUGCGUAGACGGGAAAAUAAGUUAGUUGUGAAAUCCCUCGGCUCAACUGAGGAACUGCAACUAAAACUGUAUUUCUUGAGUGCAGGAGAGGAAAGUGGAAUUCCUAGUGUAGCGGUGAAAUGCGUAGAUAUUAGGAGGAACACCAGUGGCGAAGGCGACUUUCUGGACUGUAACUGACGUUGAGGCACGAAAGUGUGGGGAGCAAACAGGAUUAGAUACCCCUGUA
rnacentral:rRNA from 1 species